rnacentral:rRNA from 1 species
CCUACGGGUGGCAGCAGUGGGGAAUAUUGCACAAUGGGCGAAACCCUGAUGCAGCGACGCCGCGUGAGUGAUGAAGUAUUUCGGUAUGUAAAGCUCUAUCAGCAGGGAAGAAAAUUACGGUACCUGAUUAAGAAUCCCUGGCUAAUUACGUGCCAGCAGCCGCGGUAAUACGGAGGGGGCAAGCGUUAUCCGGAUUUACUGGGUGUAAAGGGAGUGUAGACGGCAGCGCAAGUCUGAAGUGAAAUGCCGGGGUUUAACCCCGGAACUGCUUUGGAAACUGGGCAGCUAGAGUGCAGGAGAGGUAAGUGGAAUUCCUGGUGUAGCGGUGAAAUGCGUAGAUAUCACGAAGAACUCCGAUUGCGAAGGCAGCAUACCGGCGCCCAACUGACGCUGAGGCACGAAAGCGUGGGUAGCGAACAGGAUUAGAUACCCUUGUAGUC